rnacentral:RNase_P_RNA from 1 species
ACCGGUGGUCAGGGUGAAACGGUGGUGUAAGAGACCACCAGCACGCCAGGUGACUGGCGUGGCUCGGCAAACCCCACCUGGAGCAAGACCAGACAGCACGCGUAUGAGGGCGGCCCGUCCGAGCGUGCGGGUAGGUCGCUGGAGGCGGCUGGCAACAGUCGCCCGAGAUGGAUGGCCGUCCCCGUCGCAGUGCCGGCAACGGCGCGGCGGGACAGAACCCGGCGUAUCGGUCGACUCAUCCA